GCACAAGCGGUGGAGUGAUGUGGAUUAAUUCGAUGCAACGACGAAAACCUUACCUACCCUUGACAUGUCAGGAAGUCCGCUGAGAGGUGGAUGUGCUCGAAAGAGAACCUGAACACAGGUGCUGCAUGGCUGUCGUCAGCUCGUGUCGUGAGAUGUUGGGUUAAGUCCCGCAACGAGCGCAACCCUUGUCAUUAAUUGCCAUCAUUCAGUUGGGCACUUUAAUGAGACUGCCGGUGACAAACCGGAGGAAGGUGGGGAUGACGUCAAGUCCUCAUGGCCCUUAUGGGUAGGGCUUCACACGUCAUACAAUGGUCGGUACAGAGGGUUGCCAACCCGCGAGGGGGAGCCAAUCCCACAAAGCCGAUCGUAGUCCGGAUCGCAGUCUGCAACUCGACUGCGUGAAGUCGGAAUCGCUAGUAAUCGUGGAUCAGCAUGUCACGGUGAAUACGUUCCCGGGUCUU
rnacentral:rRNA from 1 species